rnacentral:tRNA from 1 species
GGGGUUGUAGCUCAGUGGUAGAGCGCUCACCUAGCAUGUGCAAGGCACUGGGUUCAAUUCUCAGCACCACA